AUUGUUUUAGGUCAGUUGGUAAGGCGUAGGACUACAAAUCCGCAGGUGGUGGGUUCAAAUCCGACCGGCGGCC
rnacentral:tRNA from 1 species